UACGUAGGGUCCGAGCGUUGUCCGGAAUUAUUGGGCGUAAAGGGCUCGUAGGCGGUCCGUCGCGUCGGGAGUGAAAACUCAGGGCUCAACCCUGAGCGUGCUUCCGAUACGGGCGGACUAGAGGUAUGCAGGGGAGAACGGAAUUCCUGGUGUAGCGGUGGAAUGCGCAGAUAUCAGGAGGAACACCCGUGGCGAAGGCGGCUCUCUGGGACGGUACUGACGCUGAGACGCGAAAGCGUGGGGAGCGAACAGG
rnacentral:rRNA from 1 species